rnacentral:rRNA from 1 species
GACGAACGCUGGCGGCGUGCUUAACACAUGCAAGUCGAACGGUGAAAGAAGAGCUUGCUCUUCUGGAUCAGUGGCGAACGGGUGAGUAACACGUGAGUAACCUGCCCCAGACUCUGGAAUAAGCGCUGGAAACGGCGUCUAAUACCGGAUACGAGACAGAGCUGCAUGGCUACUGUCUGGAAAGUUUUUCGGUCUGGGAUGGACUCGCGGCCUAUCAGCUUGUUGGUGAGGUAACGGCUCACCAAGGCAACGACGGGUAGCCGGCCUGAGAGGGCGACCGGCCACCCGGGGCGUGAGACAGGGCCAAGGCUCCCACGGGGGGCAGGGGGGGGGAAUAUUGCACAAUGGGAGAAGGCCAAAGGCAGGGACGCCGCGGGGGGGAAGCCGGCUUUGGGGUAGAAAACCUUUUUCGAAGGGGAAAAAGCGAAAGUAGCGGAACCUGAAGAAAGAGCCCCGGCUAACUGCGU